rnacentral:RNase_P_RNA from 1 species
CAAGUAGACCGGGUGACCGCUCGCUUUAAAAGGCGGGAGGAAAGUCCGAGCUCCGCCGGGCAGGAUGCUGGGUAACGCCCAGGAGGGGUGACCCUACGGAAAGUGCCACAGAAACAUACCGCCCCGGCUAAAGCCAGGGCAAGGGUGAAAUGGUGAGGUAAGAGCUCACCAGCGGCUGGGCGACCAGUCGGCUGGGCAAACCCCAUCUGGAGCAAGGCCAAAUAGAGAGACGAAAAGGACGCCCGGCCUAGUCUCUGGGUUGGCCGCUUGACCCUGAUGGUAACAUCAGGGCUAGAUAGAUGGUCACCGCCCCGACUUUUCGGGGUACAAAACUCGGCUUACAGGUUUACUUGGCUG